rnacentral:rRNA from 1 species
AUGAACGCUGGCGGCGUGCCUCAUACAUGCCAGUCGAGCGAACAGACGAGGAGCUUGCUCCUCUGACGUUAGCGGCGGACGGGUGAGUAACACGUGGAUAACCUACCUAUAAGACUGGGAUAACUUCGGGAAACCGGAGCUAAUACCGGAUAAUAUAUUGAACCGCAUGGUUCAAUAGUGAAAGACGGUUUUGCUGUCACUUAUAGAUGGAUCCGCGCCGCAUUAGCUAGUUGGUAAGGUAACGGCUUACCAAGGCAACGAUGCGUAGCCGACCUGAGAGGGCGAUCGGCCACACUGGAACUGAGACACGGUCCAGACUCCUACGGGAGGCAGCAGUAGGGAAUCUUCCGCAAUGGGCGAAAGCCUGACGGAGCAACGCCGCGUGAGUGAUGAAGGUCUUCGGAUCGUAAAACUCUGUUAUUAGGGAAGAACAAAUGUGUAAGUAACUAUGCACGUCUUGACGGUACCUAAUCAGAAAGCCACGGCUAACUACGUG